UUCGGGUUCGGAUAUCCAAUAUCUCCUAAUUCAAUACCCGUUCGGAUAUUUUGCUACUUCGGUUCAGAUUUCGAUUCGGAUUUUUCGGAUCGGGUUUGGGUGCGGCUUCGGAUAUCGGGUAAAGUGUCUACCCCUAACAACACCCAUAAAAUUUUGAUCUCACAUCUCUAUUUAUGACUAGUUAGCUUUUCAUUUAAUUAGUUAAGAUUUCUUCAUUAGUCAAAAGUCUAUUUUAAACAAAAUGUGAUCUAAUUUAUGAUGUUCCACUUAUUGUAUUUUCCAUUUAAGAAAAUAUUCCUCCUUUUAUGUGAUAAAAAGUUAACAGAGAAAAAAGAACACCUCAUACUUUACACCACUAUAUAUAGACAUAUAUAGAUAGACAUAUAUAGACAUACAAUCAUUACUACACCACAGGUAUUGAAAAGAAAAAUAUCAAACAGAGAACAUUGAUCAUGGGGAAGUUAUCAUGUUCUUACUUUCUUGUAUUCACGAUUAUAUUUUCAGCGUGUUUAAUGGUUAAAAGAGCUGAGGGAAAAAUUUGUGAAAUUUGACCCAGGACCUCGUAGUCUAGUGGUACUACCUCCUUAGGGAGGGGAGGUCGGCUGUUCGACUCGCGGGGAGGGGGAGGCGUGUCCAGGACCCGUAAAAAGGUACAGGCAAAGGCUGGCGACCUCGUAGUCUAGUGGUACUACCUCCUUAGGGAGGGGAGGUCGGCUGUUCGACUCGCGGGGAGGGGGAGGCGUGUCCAGGACCCGUAAAAAGGUACAGGCAAAGGCUGGCGCUGGGCCUAGGUGGUGGACCACAAAGUCAACACCUGGUUAAUCAAAAAAAAAAAAAAAAAAAACAAACAUGCAUACACUCCUUGUGCGUUCAAGACUGCUACGCGCUUUACAAUGCUGUUGCACAUUGUGUGGACGGACGAUCCUGAAGUUCCCGGAUCUAAUCUUAAUUGUCGCUGUAAAUAUAAUUGUUAAAGGGAUGACUUUUUGAAAAUAUGCGAUAAAUAUAUUAAAUAAAUGUAAGGUUUCUUUUUUUUUUUUUUUUUUUUUGAAAAAAUGUGAGGUUUCUUUAAUCGGAAUAAACAUUAUGGAAAUUUUAAUUAAUAUUUGCUAUUUUUCUUCAUGAUGAGAUUCACAAUAAUAAUUAAAUUAAUAAUAUUUUAUUUGAAUACAUAUCUACACGAUAUCUUUUCUAUUUAAUAUACUAUAUUUCCAAUAUUUAUGUUGAUGAAACACUAGGUGAUAUUGCUAUCUGCCAUUGGAUUAAGAAUUAUAAAAUCAGUGAUCUAUAAGAUUUAUGAAAAUUAGAUUACCAUCCGGAAUGAAAUUUAAUUAUUUACUACAAUCAUUUUUUUUAACCAAGCGUCCGUGGUCGGAUGGCACAAGGCGUUACGUGGAUCUCUAAAAAACCCGAUUUUUCUUUGGUAUUUUAUAUAUUUUUUUUCUUAUUCUACUUUAUGUUAAUCUUAUCAAGGAUGGUUCCAUGAAAAAAUGCAUUGUAGAAUCAAAAGACAGAAUAUUCCACCAGAAUGUAUAGCUCUCCACCAACACUAAUAACACACACAAAAAACCUUCAUCCUAAAGGAUCUCGAGUUCUAAGAAGAUUAAUCCAUAAAAUUUUCAUUAACGUUUGGGAAAAACAAUCAUGAGCAACAUUUGGUUUGCACCGGUUAAUAUGACUCGCCACCGGUUAAAAAUCAUGAGAAAUUCUUUCUCCUCUAUCAUCUCCCUCUAAACUCUCUCGACCACAGACGUUAUCUGCUCCGCUUCUGGCACGUUCGUCCGCGUGCGGCCGCCGGAGGGCUCCUUCUCCCUUGCUCCUCUUUUCUCUUUGCUGUCCGUCGACUCUCCUCCUUCCUUGCCGAUAUACUUGUGGUUCUGCAGUAGGGUUUUGCUCGGAUAAGAAGUCGCGCGCGAGGCCUCUCAGACCCGGUGUCGUCUCUGCUACUGGUGGUAUCACGGUGAGGUUCUGGAGCGGUUAGUUUGGCGGGUGGUCAGCUUUUAGGGCUCUGCGGUGUAGAUCGGUUUUACUUUCGAUCUCCCCGGAAGCGCCGUCAUUGAUGAAGGUUAAGGUGGGUCUUGUCUUGGAGUUCCACCUUCUGUGGGCUUCCAAAAGAUGAGACUUUCGGUGACGGGAGUUAGUUUCUUGGGACUCUCCGGCGUCGGUGUGUCUCAGUCCUAUCGUCUCUUCGCCUUGUGAACUACGUUGCUCCUUUAGAUCGGAGACGGGUCCUGAGCAGACGUACGCAGGAGGUGUUGGUGCUCUGUUCAAUCCAGCUCGUGUAAAUGAUUGUGUUGUUUGUAGCAAGUCGUCGUCUAUGGCUUCUUGUGGACAGCUCGUUCGGCCACUUCACCUCGGUUAUCUUCGUCACGGAUCGCGUGCUAGCUAUCUCCUUGCUUUGAUCAUGACAUUGCUCGGAUUUGUCGCGAGGCUUCAUCGUUGUUUUCUCUCCAAUGGCAUCAGAGAGGACUUUUCACAUUAGGGUCUUUGCUCUUGGUUCUCAAGGGUAACAUUUGGCGAGGCUGUGCUCGGGAGUCAUUCACACCUCGGUGUCUCCAUUUGGUCUAGAGCGCUUCCGAGGACCACUUUAGUUCAAGGAGCUCUAGUGGUGGCGUUUCCUGAUAUUCCCUAUAAGUUUUAUUGCAACUGGUUAGUAUGGGAGUGGCGGUGGUUCCAGUCCGCUUUUUUGCAGGUGUUUUAGGCGGCAAUGGCGAGCGCUUGCUCAAUUUGGGAUGAGGUUCAAAGCGUCGUGUGGAGUUACAUACAAGCCAUGCUUGGUGGCAAUCACAAGGCUUUGGUAAGUAUCUGAAUUCUCCCCUAUGGCCGUCUUGAGCUUCAGUGACAGAGAAAGUUAUAAGCUUGUGGAGAUCAUCGGGAACUAGCUACUCCGGAGGCGUCAAGAGAAUUUCCGGCAUCCAAGGCAACGAGGAGAACCUCACAUUCUCGAGGGUCACGUUGAUGGUUGAGAACGGAGACCGAUAUUGAAGAAUUUCGAAAAACAAACUAGUGGGAUUUAGUGGGUGGGCGAAACUAGGCUUGUAAUAGAUUGACUUUGAUGCUUUUGUUCAAAAUAAGCUUGUAACCGUAUCUGAUUCCCGAUUUUUUGGUCAGAUGUUUAUUUAUAAUACUUCAUUAAAGGAAAAAAAAAUGACUCAGCCACCGGUUUAUUUAUUUGAUUGCUCUUUCUUUGGUUGGUC